rnacentral:rRNA from 1 species
UCCCGUUGAUCCUGCGGGAGGCAGCUGCUAUGGGGAUUCGGAUUAACCAUGCAAGUCAGGGGGCUCUUCGGAGCACCGGCAAAAUGCUCAGUAACACGUCAAUAAUCUGCCCUUAGGUAAGGAAUAAGCUCGGGAAACUGAGUCUAACUCCUUAUAGGGAAAGGAUACUGGAAUGUUCCUUUCUUCAAAGCUACGGUGCCUAAGGAUGAGUUGGCGGCCAAUUAGGCUGAUGGUGGGGUAAUGGCCCACCAUACCGAAGAUUGGUAGGGGCCUUGAGAGAGGUUGCCCCGAGAAGGGCACUGAGACACUGGCCCUAGCCCCACGGGGUGCAGCAGGUGCGAGACCUUUACAAUGCACGAAAGUGUGAUAAGGGGAUCCCUAGUGCUCAUGCAUCGCAUGGGCUUUUGCCAAGAGUAAAGAUCUUGGCGAAUAAGUGGUGGGUAAGACUGGUGCCAGCCGCCGCGGUAACACCAGCGCCACAAGUGGGAGCCGCUGUUAUUGGGCCUAAAGCGUUCGUAGCCGGUUCAGUAAAUCUUUUGUGAAAUCGUCAGGCUUAACCUGACGGCGGGCAGAAGAGACUGCUGAACUAGGGACCGGAAGGAGCUAGGAGUAUUUCUGGGGGAGCGGUAAAAUGCGAUAAUCCCAGAAGGACUACCUGUGGCGAAGGCGCCUAGCCAGGACGGAUCCGACGGUGAGGAACGAAAGCUAGGGGAGCGAACCGGAUUAGAUACCCGCGUAGUCCUAGCCGUAAACGCUGCGAGCUAGGUGUUGCGUAUCCUACAGGGAUAUGCAGUGUCGAAGCGAAGGCGUUAAGCUCGCCGCCUGGGAAGUACGGUCGCAAGACUGAAACUUAAAGGAAUUGGCGGGGGCACACCACAAGGGGUGCGGCGUGCGGUUUAAUCUAAUUCAACGCAGAGAAUCUCACCAUGGGCGACGGCAGGAUGAAGGUCAGGUUAAAGACUUUACCAGACGAGCCGAGAGGAGGUGCAUGGCCGUCGACAGCUCGUGCCGUAAGGUGUCCUGUUAAGUCAGGUAACGAGCGAGACCUAUGUCCACUAUUGCUAACAAGUCCUUUAGGAUGAUUGAGCACAUAGUGGAGACUGCAGCGGUAACGCUGAGGAAGGUGUAGGCAACGGUAGGUCUGUAUGCCCCGAAUCUCAUGGGCAACACGCGCGCAACAAUGGUAGGGACAAUGGGACACGACUCCGAAAGGAGAAGUUAAUCCUUGAAACCCUAUCUCAGUCUAGAUCGAGGUUUGUAACUCAGCCUCGUGACAAUGGAAUCCCUAGUAAUCGGACGUCAACAUCGUCCGGUGAAUAUGUCCCUGUGCCUUGCACACACCGCCCGUCAAACCAACCGAGCAGGGUUUGGGUGAGGAUCAGUUAUUUUGAUUGGUUCGAAUCUAAGUUCAGUGAGGUGGGUUAAGUCGUCACAAGGUA